GUACCAGAGCUUGCUCUCGGGUGACGAGCGGCGGACGGGUGAGUAAUGUCUGGGAAACUGCCUGAUGGAGGGGGAUAACUACUGGAAACGGUAGCUAAUACCGCAUAAUGUCGCAAGACCAAAGUGGGGGACCUUCGGGCCUCAUGCCAUCAGAUGUGCCCAGAUGGGAUUAGCUAGUAGGUGGGGUAACGGCUCACCUAGGCGACGAUCCCUAGCUGGUCUGAGAGGAUGACCAGCCACACUGGAACUGAGACACGGUCCAGACUCCUACGGGAGGCAGCAGUGGGGAAUAUUGCACAAUGGGCGCAAGCCUGAUGCAGCCAUGCCGCGUGUGUGAAGAAGGCCUUCGGGUUGUAAAGCACUUUCAGCGGGGAGGAAGGCGAUAAGGUUAAUAACCUUGUCGAUUGACGUUACCCGCAGAAGAAGCACCGGCUAACUCCGUGCCAGCAGCCGCGGUAAUACGGAGGGUGCAAGCGUUAAUCGGAAUUACUGGGCGUAAAGCGCACGCAGGCGGUCUGUCAAGUCGGAUGUGAAAUCCCCGGGCUCAACCUGGGAACUGCAUUCGAAACUGGCAGGCUAGAGUCUUGUAGAGGGGGGUAGAAUUCCAGGUGUAGCGGUGAAAUGCGUAGAGAUCUGGAGGAAUACCGGUGGCGAAGGCGGCCCCCUGGACAAAGACUGACGCUC
rnacentral:rRNA from 1 species